rnacentral:lncRNA from 1 species
GGCGGGGCCAGGAUAGGGCGAUCCUGGAAGCUGGGCUUCGGAAGCGUGCAGUCCCUGUAUCCUGAGAUGGAGUCACCUGAGAAUCCACAGCAAGUCCUAACCAGGGAUGGGUCUGGGUGAUUAAGGAAGAUUGGCUUCAGAACUGGGCCAGGGGCACUGCUUUGCUUUUGCUGUUUUGAUCAGCUCUCUGCCUGCAGGAGACGAGGAAAACCAAUGGGAACAGAUAGGGUCUCUCUCUCUGCCACUCAGGCCAGAGUGCAGUUGACGCAGAGCAGGGGAGCCCUGAAAUGGAGCAUAGUGUGUCCGGAACUGGUGGGUUCUUGGUCUCACUGACUUCAAGAAUGAAGCUGCGGACCCUCGGGAUGAGUGUCACAGUUCUUAAAGGUGGCUUGUCUGGAGUUUGUUCCUUCUGAUGCUCUGAUGUGUUCAGAGUUUCUUCUUUCUGGUGGGUUUGUGGUCUCACUGGCUUCAGGAGUGAAGCUGCAGACCUUCAAGGUGAGUGUUACAGCUCUUAAGGCGGUGCGUCUGGAGUUGUUUGUUCCUCCCGGUGGGUUCAUAGUCUCGCUGGCUUCAGGAGUG